ACCAAGUCUACGAUCUAUAGCUGGUUUUAGAGGAUGAUCAGCAACACUGGGACUGAGACACGGCCCAGACUCCUACGGGAGGCAGCAGUGGGGAAUCUUAGACAAUGGGCGCAAGCCUGAUCUAGCCAUGCCGCGUGUGUGAUGAAGGUCUUAGGAUCGUAAAGCACUUUCGCCAGGGAUGAUAAUGACAGUACCUGGUAAAG
rnacentral:rRNA from 1 species